rnacentral:rRNA from 1 species
UACGAGUGCCUCGAGCGUUAUCCGGAAUCAUUGGGCGUAAAGGGUGCGUAGGCGGCGAUGUUAGUCUCCCGUAAAAUUCCUCGGCUCAACCGGGGGCGCGCGGGAGAAACGGCAUUGCUUGAGAGCGGAAGGGGCCUCUGGAACUCAUGGUGUAGCGGUGAAAUGCGUUGAUAUCAUGGGGAACACCAAAAGCGAAGGCAGGAGGCUGGUCCGUUUCUGACGCUGAAGCACGAAAGCGUGGGUCGCGAAUGGG